GGCUCAGUGGCCAAGUGGUACGGCGUCGGUCUCGUAAACCGAAGAUCCAGGGUUCGAAUCCCUGCUGAGCCU
rnacentral:tRNA from 1 species